AAAACAACAACCCAAUAUAAAUAACCCCAAACACACUACUCCUCCUAUAAACAAACCAUUUUACCCCCCUAGUAUGGGCGACAGAAAAGGAACUAUUGGAGCGAUAGAGAAAGUACCGCAAGGG
rnacentral:rRNA from 1 species